UCUUUUAUAGCUCAGAUGGUUAGAGCAAUUGGCUGUUAACUAAUAGGUCGUAAGUUCAAAUCUUACUAAAAGAG
rnacentral:tRNA from 1 species